rnacentral:rRNA from 1 species
AUGGAUCCCUUCAAUGAUCCACUUUCCAUCGCCCAUCAACUGGAUUUCUCUUUUGGCCACCGUUUCAGAUGCAAGGUUCGUGAUCUUUUCAAAUCUUCGGUUCAUCCGGUUUCACCAGAUCUGGAUUUUCAAUUGGUGAUCUCUUUCACCCGAUCAUCUUUUCGUUUGAAUGACCUCCCACCAGGCACGACCAUCGUUCCACAGGGCCCCCUCCGUGAGUAGCAUGGAUAUGUGGUCAUCGGCGGCGAGCUCCCUAUGGUUUGUGAUGAAUGGGCCAUUGCCACUCUCGAGCCAGGUAUCGCUCCAGAGGAAUUUCAUGGAGCCAAUGCCAUGAUCAUCAACUUUCUGGAGAACAGAGGUUGGAGGAUCAGCUACUCUUCCAGAUGCGGUAUGGGAUCUGUCUUAAUCCAGUUUACCACAGCAUGCUCCCGUGAUACUGCAGUUAGCCAUAGUCCGUUUUAGCUCGGAGACACAGUGCUUAGAAUCACUAGGCAGGAUCGUGGAAUUAACUACAGAAGCAUUACUUUCACUCAUGAUAUCUGGAUGCUGUUGAUGAACUACAGGUUAGAGUGCUGGGAUGUCCAUGUUAUUAGUAGAACUUUUGCACCUUAUGGCCAUUUUCUUAUUUGGAACAAGGAUCCAAGGGACAAAACCAGGAUUAUUGUGAAAGUAAGAGUCAUGAAUGCUGAAACGCUCCCACUCAAUAUUGUUAUUCUUCGCAACCUGGAUGACAUGGGCUAUGGAGACUCAUGGACAUGCCCUGCCUAUAUACUAUCCAGAGAGCUUAUUGGGCAGCAGGGAGGAGAUGAGGAUCGACUCCCCCCUAAUGGAGGAAAUCCUCAUCCCCUUCCCAAUGUGCAUGCAGGGUUUUGG